rnacentral:rRNA from 1 species
UUACAACUUCAGCAAC